CCCUGCUCUCUAGGUGUGCAGUAAAUGUUUGCUUUUCUCUGAGCUGAUAAGCAGCUGGCUUCUCCAAAACUGAGCUUUGAAAGGGCAUUUCCGCAUUCCUACAGCCAAUUUCACAACAAUGACAAGAGUGGCCACUUGACUUAAGGGGAUUAUGGGACGUUUCCGGAGGCUGAUCACAGCGCAGUAACGCAACACUUCGUUCAUACUGGCACCGCGGCGCUCCAGCCAUGCGCAGCAAAUGUUAUUCUGCUCACCAAGGUGGAGUAC